GUCAACAACGCAUCGAGCCCCACACCCUCGUCCUCCCCUUCUCCUUCGCAGGCACGUCUCCUCCUCCCCUUUGGCUCCCUGAUCCCCUUUCUUCUUGUGCAGGCCGCCUACUCCCCUCCUCGGCUGGAGCAAGGUGCCGCCGUCCCUCCAUCCUCGCGACGCCACCUCCUUCCUCCGCUGCCGGCAGAGGCGACCGGCUAGGGUUCAGUUGCCGCCGCCAAAACGGAAGCCGUGCUGCCCGGCGAGUGGCCCGGCGCCCCAGCAAGUUCUCCUUCUCCAGCUAUCUUCUCAUCCCCGUUCCUCUCUCCAUCCCUGCUCGUCCCCUCCUCCUUGACCGCCUCUCUUCUCCUCUGAAGGAGCACGAGGUCUGCUGCUGCUCCUGAGCCGCCACAAGGACGUCAGGUGGAGGAGAUCCCAUGCCGACGGGCCGCUCAUGCCGGUGUCCGAGCUCUUGGAUCCGUUGGAUUCACCGUUGCUGUACGGGGACGGGUCGGCAGGGGUGCUGGUGUUGGCAUCGGGAAGGGGAAGGCGUCGCCGAUGAGGAUGUGAAGGAGGACGAGGUCGAGCCGGGUCGGUGAAGGGUGCGGCCGUUGGCUCGCUUGCCAAGCGGCUGCCUCUCUCCUCCUCGUCUUUGACGCCAUGAAGAAGAUCAAUGUUGAGAAGGAUGCAAGCUACAGGAGCAGCAGACGCGUCGUGUGAGCCUUGGGUGAUUGAUGCGUUUGUGCGUGCAUUGGUCAGCUGCGUGCAUCAGGUUCAUCUCGUGUAUCAGGAAGACAACAGUAAGGAGAUGAGAGCUAUUAUCUCAACAAUAGAAGUUCAGGAAGAAAAGGUCCGGUGCAUUAAGGAACAGCGAUAAUGGUUUUGGUGUCCUGUUAGAUGAGUUCUUGCGGGCACACCAGAUCAAUUUUUUGUCAAUGUUUUGAAAUAAUGCUGAUUCUUUUCAAGAAGAUGACAUGUCUCAUCAGAGGAACGGUGUUGUAGUGCUCAUCACUCACUCAAGAAAGGACAAACAUAAAUUCCUCGUAGCAAGGUCAGCGUAUUGUGAUGUUAGCAUGCCCCCUGAAGGACUGCAGGAGUGCUUGCCACACUUAAUACCAACUUUGGUGUCAAACAUGGUCUACACUGAGGAUGAUGAAUUGCUUGUUGAUGCUGAGGUUUGAAGAAGGGCCAGGUUCAAAGUUUUAGGGCAACCCGUCGCUUUAGGGAGACGGCGGUCCCUUUGAUGGCCUCCAGGCUCGGCUCAAUGAUUGGGAUCGGUCAUCGGUGGUGGCGUCGAAGGUGGUAUGGAGUCUAAACCAUGGAAGAGACCGUACACUCAGAAGGCAAAGUUGGGAAGCUCCUACAAUGAAGUAUCUGUGAUGAGGGAGCUAGCCUGAAAGUGGAUCUACCGCGUGCUGCUCCUGUUCCCUCUCCCUCAAUUCAUCCUCAUGGAUCUGACAAGGUUUACAAGGAAUGCCCAGCUCAAAAGACAUAGGCGUACCGAGCCUGGCUGGCCAUUCGGGCCGAACACGCGUUACCGCUAAUGACGAUGACCAUGGUAUUUGGUCGAUCACAGCUGGUUGCGGUCCGAAUGAGGGAGCUCCUAACCAGCGCGUUCAGUGCCGAUUUCGCGGUCUGGCGCUCGAAGCACACGUUACUGGGCCGGCCCAGGUGAGCUUCGACCGAAAACCACGACGCAAAAAAUUUUUGCGAAAGUUGGGUUUCGAUCUCAAGAUCACACUUCUUUUUGUCUGACGCGAGAACGACUAGACCAAACACGUUCUGUUGUUCUAUAGCUAGGAAAAAGUGCUACUUAACCGUUAUUCAGUGAAAACAUUAACGUAAAAUCUGAAAAUUAUUUGAAAAGUUCAUUGAUUCUGAAAAAAAAGUUCAUCGAUUUUGAAAACUAGUUCACCAUUUUUUUAAAAGUUCACAAAAUUUUAAAAAGUUUCAUCGAUUUUGAAAAAAAGUUCAUCGAUUUUGAAAAAAGUUCAUCGAUUUGGAAAAAAACUUUAUGGAAUUUGGGAAAAAAAUGUUCAUUGAAUUUGGAAAAAGUUCGUCGAAUGUGGAAAAACUUCAUCGAAUUUGGAAAAAAAAUCAUCGAAUUUGAAAAAUAGUUCAUUGAAUUUGAAAAAAGUUCAUCGAUUUUAUAAAAGUUCAUCAAAAUUGAAAAAAAAGUUCACGAAUUUGAUAAAAAGUUCAUUGAAUUUGAAAAAAGAUCAUUGAAUUUGACAAAAGUUCAUCGAAUUUGAAAAUAAGUACAUCGAUUUUGAUAAAAGUUCAUUGAAUUGAAAAAAGUUAGUCGAAAUUGAAAAAAACUUCACGAAUUUGAUAAAAAGUUAGCGCAUUUAAGGAAAGAAAAAAAUGAAAGGAAAUGAGAAAAGAAACAUGAAAAAGGAAAAAGAAAAAAAUCACCCAGAAACUGACCAGCGAACGACCUAGAUAAGAAUAAAAAUAAAAGAAAGAAGUUUGUGGGCAUAGGCGCAUUGUUAUCCUGGUGGUGAGUGCGCUGCACUUUCAAUUAAGCGAUCCAGUGUUGGAUCCCUCGCUAGCGCACGAAAGUUCGUUAGUUAUCGGGGUCCAAUAACUAUAGACGAGUACGUAAAUCGGUGGCAAUCCCAUCAAGCCAGCUAGGGGACAGUGAGCCAAUUAACCUAACUUAAUGAACUAACUUACUAAUUACUCGUUCUUACAUGUGUGGAUUAGCAGUGGCUUGGUACUAUACCUAGCAUGGCAUUGUGUCAUGCUACCUCUGCUCCUAAAUUUAAAAUGUUUUUGUAGUUGAACUGCAAAAACGUCUUAUACGCCCCCCAUAUACCUAGCUAGCCUACCGAAACGUCAUAUAUUUGGGUAUGGAGGAGUAUUUAAGAGCAGAUGCAAUACUACGUAAUCAUGCUUAAUCCUAACUCCUAAGAUGACUGGUCUAUAACAUAGCAUUGCUUCAUAAUCAUGUUUACAAAUCUGAAAUAAAACAGGUUUGGUGCUUGAAAGUUGUUUACUGGAUCCGUAUGUUCGGGGCCUGGGAAUUCAUCUCCUCCCUUGAGCUUCGCAGUUGGUGAAAGAAUGGAACAGCCCACGAGUACGCUGCUGGUAUUCCUGUUUAAAUUAGCGACCGUGGCUCUGAACCGGAUGCACAUCUCUGAACCGUAGUCUGUAAUUAGCGACCGUGGGUAUGAUGAUCCAGUCCAAGAGAACAUAUUCCUCAUGAUUUAUGUACGUGGUGCUAAGUGCUAACUCAUCCGUGGAUGGUGACGACUCCAGAUACCAACUUCCCCUGGCUACUAGCAUGCAGAGCAGCAGCAGCAGGGUCAAGUCCAAAUACAUCGGUUUCAGUCUUGUUGCUACCGUCCGUAUGUAUUUUUGUUGCAAUGCGAGGACAGCGACGACACAGGUAGGAUGCUCCGUUGGACGGGCAUGCAUGCAUCCUGGGGUCUUGGCAGGACAAGACAUGCUACUGCCUCUAAUGUGCCACCAUCUCAAGCUUAGUUCGGUUACAUGUAAGAAAAUUACAUCGUCAAUAUCCAGCUACUAUUGGGGGAUGUCCAGAGAAGAGGAAAAUGCAUUGGUUAAAUUGGCCGGACAUGACUCGCUCCAAACUGCAUGGUGGUAUGGGCUUUCGUGAUAUCCCUACAUUCAGUCUAGCUGUUAAAUUGUGAUCCAAAUUAUACCAUGUUGACUAGACGUAGUACAACCGGUGUGGGCCUUUGCGUUGACGUCAACGCGCGUACGAGUACAACUCGUUUACUUGUCCUCCAAGGACUCUCAUGUAUUGCCGUCUUAUAUACCCAUGUAGUCGCACCUCAGACGGUCUGUCGUCUCGUGCUUGUAAUACUCCUUCAUUAUAGUGAUUGCGGCUUCGUGCGUCCGUGAUUUUUCUCCCGCAAGGGUUUCCACGUAAAAAUCCAUGUCUCUCUGUCUCGUUUAUUUCUCGUUAUUAUCUAGCAAGUGGUAUACAGAGCCAAGUUUACAGAUACGAGAUUCAAAGACGAGGGGAUUAGGGUUUCUGUUCGCGCCGCUUGCACGCGACGUGGCGAUCUGUCAAUCCGAAGGUAGAUUGAUUCUGUGCGCGGCCGUACACGAUCAUCAGAUCGUUUCACCGAGUCCAACAGGCGGUCCAAUCCGUGCGUGCUGCUUCUCGAUCGGCCCGUGGAGCUACAGCGGCGUCACAUCUACAAGUACUACUUCUCCUCCCGCUCCAGGUCAUCACACCAGGAAGGAACUAGUACUACUACCGUGAAGGGCAGUACUAAUUGAUUGG